GAGGAUCGUCCAUACUGAUUCCCACUAAAGAAGAAACACAUACAGCUGCAUAAACGGAUCGAGCAUCCGACUCUCCCUCAUUAUUAACUCGAAACGAACCAUCCGGAUUUUUUAAAGAGAAUAACCAAUCGUACAAACGAUCGCGCUCUAUCAAGGAAUAUGCGUCGGUGGAGUCACAAAGACAUAUACUGAGUAUAGAAGCAUAAGUACUCAAUAAAUGUUCAUCUUGUCCAUUCCCACCACAAAAACCACCACUAGGCCCUUUCAACUGUCGCACACUGCUAAUAGCCCGUUCACAAACAGAGCUGUCAAGUUUGCCUAAAAUUGCCAAUGAACUUAGUUCCCAAUAAACCAUCCAAGCCCUUGAUGCAUCCAAUACUGUAAAGGGAGAAGGAAGAGGAUCUAGCAUUUUGGUUAAAUACUUAAGAUGCUUUUGCAAAUUGAACGAUUGACUCUCGCCGUUCAGCAAUGGAAGAACAGCUGUAGCCGUUUCGUUUUGCAUAACUUGCGUUUCUGAUAAUUCAUCCAUCUUUACUAACUUUAACGAAAGAGUCCGCUCACCAAAAAGCUUUAUUAAUUAUAAAGUUGUUGGACUGGUUUACUUAAACACUAGAAGACAAAGAACCUAAAGUAACAGCCAAAUUGUUACUUGGCGCUAGAUGUGAAGGUUUCGCAUAUUAGAGGAAAUACUUGUAUGAGAGGAGCUCGAAGAUGAAAGUUUUGAAAGACAUGUGGCACCCUGUUUCCUUCUUAAAAGUAAUUGCUCUCCUAGGGUCUUAUUAAUUUCGGCAAGUCUCUGUUCAACAGUUUUAUAAUAUUCAAGGCCCUUAGAUACACCUUCCGAUAUAGCUUUAGCCGUAAGAGAAGAAGAAAGCAAAUUAGAACAUAACUCUUUAUUUUUAGAAAAUUGGUUAUUGUAUACUUCCAUCUUUCUCAAAAAUUCCGGAUUUUGUUUCAA